UGUAAAUCGUCAAGUGCCAAUGAGCAGUC
rnacentral:piRNA from 1 species